UAGGGAAUCUUCGGCAAUGGACGGAAGUCUGACCGAGCAACGCCGCGUGAGUGAAGAAGGUUUUCGGAUCGUAAAGCUCUGUUGUAAGAGAAGAACGAGUGUGAGAGUGGAAAGUUCACACUGUGACGGUAUCUUACCAGAAAGGGACGGCUAACUACGUGCCAGCAGCCGCGGUAAUACGUAGGUCCCGAGCGUUGUCCGGAUUUAUUGGGCGUAAAGCGAGCGCAGGCGGUUAGAUAAGUCUGAAGUUAAAGGCUGUGGCUUAACCAUAGUAGGCUUUGGAAACUGUUUAACUUGAGUGCAAGAGGGGAGGGUGGAAUUCCAUGUGUAGCGGUGAAAUGCGUAGAUAUAUGGAGGAACACCGGUGGCGAAAGCGGCUCUCUGGCUUGUAACUGACGCUGAGGCUCGAAAGCGUGGGGAGCAAACAGGAUUAGAUACCCUGGUAGUCCACGCUGUAAACGAUGAGUGCUAGGUGUUAGACCCUUUCCGGGGUUUAGUGCCGUAGCUAACGCAUUAAGCACUCCGCCUGGGGAGUACAACCGCAAGGUUG
rnacentral:rRNA from 1 species